AUUCUGGUCACCUGGGGGUCUUGUUAAGAUGCAGUUUCUGAUCUGGUAGCCUGGGGUGGGGUCAGAGAGCCUGCAUUUCUAACAAGCUCCCAGAUGAUGCUGUU
rnacentral:pre_miRNA from 1 species